UACGUAGGGGGCAAGCGUUGUCCGGAAUUAUUGGGCGUAAAGCGCGUGUAGGCGGUCCGGUAAGUCGGCUGUGAAAGCCCCGGGCUCAACCCGGGAACUGCGUCUGAUACUGGAUGGCUUGAAUCCGGGAGAGGGAUGCAGAAUUCCAGGUGUAGCGGUGAAAUGCGUAGAUAUCUGGAGGAAUACCGGUGGCGAAGGCGGCAUCCUGGACCGGCAUUGACGCUGAGGAGCGAAAGCUAGGGGAGCAAACGGG
rnacentral:rRNA from 1 species